UAGUCCACGCCCUAAACGAUGUAUACUCGAUGUUUGAUUUAAUUAUUGGGCAUCCAAGGGAAACCAUUAAGUAUACCACCUGGGGAGUACGUUGGCAACGAUGAAACUCAAAGGAAUUGACGGGGUCCGCACAAGCGGUGGAGCAUGUGGUUUAAUUCGAUGAUACGCGAGGAACCUUACCUAGGCUCGAACGCUAUUUGACCGUCUAUGAAAGUGAUUUUCCUUCGGGACGGAUAGUGAGGUGCUGCAUGGUUGUCGUCAGCUCGUGCCGUGAGGUGUUGGGUUAAGUCCCGCAACGAGCGCAACCCUUAUCCUUAGUUGCCAGCACAUAAUGGUGGGGACUCUAGGGAGACUGCCGGCGUAAGCCGCGAGGAAGGUGGGGACGACGUCAAAUCAUCAUGGCCUUUAUGCCUAGGGGCUACACACGUGCUACAAUGGUGCAUACAGCGGGUAGCGAAAUCGCGAGGUGGAGC
rnacentral:rRNA from 1 species